rnacentral:lncRNA from 1 species
GAGGCCCGGUGCUGUAUUCUGCCGCCCAUUUUACCCGCGGGGAAGCUGAGGCCCAGUGCUGUUUAAUAUCUUACUCAUGUUCACUUGAUGAGAAAGUGACAGAUCUGAGACAAACCCAGAAAGGGACCAGCUUGACGAAGCUUCUGCUUUUGUGACUGUCUCCUAAUGCUAAGACCUCUAGUACAGUGUUCAAUGGAACUGGUGAGAAAAGACGUCCUUGCUGUGUUCCUGAUAUGAAGAGGAAAGCAGUCCUUCUCCAUUAAAUGCUGACAACAUGAGCCUCCCGUGGUCGGAACGGGCUUGUGAAGGCGGUGCUGGGGUGCACCAGGGCAGCAGCUACAGCCACUGUCAUUCCUACCUGGAGAGAGCUCAGGAGAGAGAUGGUCAGGACAGAAGUCCGUCUGUGGCUGAGUCAGUACCUCAGGUGGGAAGAAGCUGAUGGAAUCCUUCUUGGGCAGCUCCUGCCCCUCUCCAGCCUAACUGGUCAAGCCUGAGACACCUGAAGCCCUGGACUUGGAAUCUGAAGCUGUCAUCAGCCAGUACACCUAUGAACCUGUGGAAGACCUGAAGUACCUGUUUAAAAGACAGCCAAAAGAUAAGUAAAUACUUCCCAAAUU